GCACCAUUAUAAUCUAAUAAAUUUGUUUUAUUGAUGACAAGGCAUACUAUCCUAGUAUUUUCUGAUUUUAUUUGAAUUUUUUAGGGUAUAAUUAGUUAGAUUCUUAGUUGUAUUAUGUCAUUUGUGUGAAAUUUUGUUGGAUAAGGUACAAUUGAUACAAAUUUGUUGAAAAUUUUGUUGUCCUUUACUGAAAUUCGAAUUUGUUUGUGGAAUUGGGGGGAAAUCUGAUUUCACUUUUGGUCAUUUUUGUCCCUAGGGUUGAGAUUAUCAUGUUAUAAAUAGAAUAGGAUUGUAACAUUGAGGGGGUUCUGAUUUUUGAUCCAAAAUUCUCUCAUGAAUAGGUAGGGUUCGAUUGUCACAUUGAUCUUCCCAUCCUACUAUUAUAUUACUACUAUACUGCUUAAAAAUCUACUAUUAUUACACUAUUGCACUGAUAUUAUACCAAAAUACUAUUACUAUGAAAAAUUCAAGAACAAGGGGGUUGUUUAAGGUUUUUUUGGGGUGUUGGUGUUUGAAGUUUGUGAUUCAACCCCUCCUUUUGAUCUUUUGGUUGCCCUACAAAAAGGUAACAUCACUAUUCUCUUAUUUUAUUUAAUUUUAGCACUAAUAUGAGCUUGAAUAACUAUCUUAUUGUUUAAUUAUGUGCUUUGAGACUUUGGUUAGUUGAUUUGAUCACAUUUUUGCCUUAGUCUAGUUGGUAAUAUAGUCUUGAUAAUGUUUAAGUUGCUAUAAUGUCACUGAGUUGAUCUAAAUCAUGUUUGAGGUUCUCUUUGUUUUUAUGGAUUUCUGGAAACUAAAGGAUAAGACAUGAUUGAUUGUAUAGUGAAUUUGGUCUUGUAUAGUAGGCUGUUUAAGAUUUUAGCUUUGUUAUGUUGAUUUUUGUUAGAACUUGGUACUGUUUCAUUAGAAAUUUAGGUACUUAGCUUUGUUUUCAAUAAUUUCUGAUCAUUAUGCUAUGAAGAUGAUCUUGCCACCGUUUAUUUGUUGAAUCGGUUUUUAGUUGCUUGUUUGGCAUUGUUCUUGAUCUAAAUGAUUUUAAGAAAUCUAAUACAUGGCUUCCAACUUGGAUUCAUUAUAAAGAACCUGAAUUUUUUAGAAAUUUGCCAAGCUUAAGUCUAUAGAAAUUGAAACUGAUCCUAUGUCUCUUAUUGUUCAUGAAUCACCUUAAGCAGUCUAAUAUUUUUGGAAAAGGUAGUUUGAGUUCCCUAAAACUUUCUUGCUGAGUAGAGUUUUGAAAUCUUGAAGCUUAUUCCUAAACCUGUGUAUGUUGAUUAAUUGAACCUGUCUAAAAAGGAAGAGAAAAGAGUUGUUUUUCCUAAACUAUGGAGUAUAAGCAUUAGCUUGUAAUGGCCUGUCUUCUCUUCUUUACUGGUCCCUCACCUAGUUUAUUAUGAAAACUGUUCAUGUCUCUGCUUGAAAUUUGAUUGUAGAUUUCACGUGUUCUUGUUGUUAAGAUAAGUAGGAGUACAAAAGGGUUAAAACUGAAUAUAGAGAGUAAAACAAAAUAGACUUAGUAGCAGCUUAAGUUCUUUUUCUUUCUUCUGUGUGUUUGACUUCUUUAAGACUUGACCAUUAGCUAAAUUUCUCUUUCUGAAACUGUGCUAUGAGUUGAUUAGGAUUUGAACUUUGUUGACCUAGCAUCAUUCUAAAAACUGAGACCAGAAGUUGUUUUAUAAACUAAUAAAGUACUUAUUUGCCUAUACUUGCUCUUGUUUAUAAGUUUUAGACCUAUGUGUGUAUUGAUUCUACCCUUCUUGUGUAGAUUAGUCCAAGUGUAAUAUCUCUGUGACCUAGGAUAGAAUCAUGACCCUUUUAUGGCCACAGUUUAGUUUCCUUUGGACUCAUAAGUGUUUCUAUGUGAGUUUUCCUAUUAUCUAUGACUUACUGUGACUCUAUUGACACAUGUUUGCACCUAAGACAGACUUAUAUUCUCCCUGAUUAUUGUGAACUUGUUUGAUUUUGUCUUAAAUCACUUUUUGCAACCUAAUAAGACGCUUAUGUGACUCCUACUCCUUGUUUUGGAUUUCAGUGGGCAAAUUCUGAAUAAAUCUUGGUAUAAAUCUUCAUUUAGGGAUUCUGUUAAUGCUUUAUGAGACUGGAUAUGUAGUAAGAAGAUUUUAAGUGAUUAUUUGUGACCUUUGCAACUUAAGAAUGGACUAAAAUAAGAACUUAGAAGCCUGGAAAAUAGCAACAAACCUGUGAUAUGACCUAGACUUGCUUAAAUUAACAUUGGUUUAGAAGAAACAACUUUGGACCUGCUACUUGAUUCUGUGCCACAUUGUUAUGACAUGAAUGAAACUAAAAAUGAUUCUUUGCCAUUUAGUUAACUUAAGAAUGAUGUAAAGAUGAAUUUCUGAAAACCAUUUGACAUUAUUUGCUUUGAUUGAGACUAGACUAGUCACUUGUUUAUUUGCCUUGUCUUGUUAUUUCUGAACUUUGCUAGGCAUAUGAAGAUAAAAGUGAUCUUUCCUAAACCUGGUUGAUAGAUUUGAGACUGUCUAGGUGGAGAGUUGGUAAAAAUAGGAAAAAUGAAAAAUUUGUAGUCAAAUUUUGAUCUUAGAAGAGUCUAAGUGUCUUGGAUUUUGUACGUAUUUGUUGGCUUCAUUCCUGGGAACUGGAAAAAGAAUAAGGGUAAGAAUUUUAUAAAGAAUUUCGCUUUUUGUAUAAAAUUUGAAAUAGAAAAACUGGAGAUAGGUCUAUAAGUUGACUGCUUGGAUUUUACCUCUGAAUUUCUGAGAUUUCCUUGUGUCUUACUCACUUGUUGUCCAUGAAACUUACUAUUUGUAACUUAUUCUUUUUAUACCAAUAUAGGGCCAUAGUGUGUUUGAAAUCCCCUGCUUCACACAGGUCAUUAAAAUCAGUAAAAAAGGACUAAGAAUAAGGUCAAACUGUCCUUGGAAGGAUUGAUUGUGAUACUUAUUCUGAGAUGUCACUUCCUUUAUUGUUUACUUGCUGAUUUGAAUACUAUUUUAUGUGUCAUUCGUUCCUUGGUACUUGCCUUACUACUAAAGACUCAUGUGUGCAUCUAACUCACUUAGACUAAGUAGGAUACCCAGAAAAGGGGCUUAAAACCAACUUGAGGAGUUAAGUGUGAUGUCUACAUUCUUCCUCUUGGUACCCAUUUGUGAAACCUGAAGAUAGUCCUGUCAUUUACCCCUCCUUAUGUGCUUAUUUGAGUUGAAACUAUGUCUAAUAUGCUGAAUUGGACCUAGGAUAGUAUCAUGUCCCUAUCUGCUGUUUGAAACCUCUACUUGCUACCUGUGUAGUUUCUGUGCAAAUUCUGCAAAAUGGACUAAGUGUGAGCUAUUUUGAGGCCCUGCUAAUGCUUUAAUGAACCUGUAACUUGCCUAUCUUGGACUUACUGGGAUUAAAACUAAGCUAAAAUGAUCAUAGACUUUUAAAUUUGCUCCUGUGACAUCUUUGAUUGAUAACAAACAGACUUGAAAAAAAAAUGAUUUUUUGGCAUUUGAAUUGGUUCAUCACUGGACAGGUGUGGUUUCUAAGGCACUUGACCCCUAGUUCUACCCCUCUUUUGAUUACCGACUCCUUAAAAAUUGGAAAUAGAAAUAUGUUGGUGUGUUUGGUAGUUUGUUUAUGUAUCCCUCCAUCCUAUGGUACUUGAUUACCUGUUCACUGCCCAUCCCCCUUAGCUACUGCCUUUUUUUUUCCUUUCUUCCCUAAAAAAAAAAAAAUUAGAAACUAAGACUAUGAGUGUGUUGAUUGUGGCCUUUGCCUUGUUUCUUUUCUUCCAUACGACCCGCUACAACAUUCAUACACGAAUUUGAAUGUAUGCGUAUUUGACUCGCAGUUCAUCACAGGUUCAAAUACACAAAUUACAUCGAGAUCAUUAAUGAAAACAAAAUUAGCCGUGUAGAAAAUCAAUGAAUCAAAUAAAAAGCAAAUACUGAGAAUCAAAUAUACACAUACAUUCAAACAUAAGUUCAAAAAUAAAUGCAUCCAUUUAUUUGAAUGUACCGAAAUUGAUUAGCAUCUCAUCACUGGUUCAAAUACAUAAAAAAAAUAUACAAAACACUAAUGAAAAACAAACAACAUUGGAGAAAAUAAACGAAUCAACUGAAAAGGAAAUAAAAAGCAACCUUUAAUCACGAAAGUUCGACAAUUAAGGAAAAAAAAAACAACUACUACAAUUGAUUAUGAUCCAACAAAAACUUUGCGAUUAUGACGCCUUCUUAGAAUCCAUUACCUGUAGGAUUAGUACUAUUUUCGUCUUUUUAUUAUUUUAUUAUUCUCGUAUUUCUUAUUCUUAUUACUACUUGUUUUUUCUCCUGCUUCAGUUUUCUUACUAUCCUGCUUUUAUUAUUGCUUAUGUUUUCAUACUCGUUGUGCUUCUGCUUUACUUGAGCCGAGAGUCUAACGGAAACAACCUCUCUAUCUCCACGAGGUAGGAGUAAGGUUUGCGUACACUCUACGGUCGCCAGACCCUAUUUUGUGGGAUUACAACUGGGUAUGUUGUUCUUGUUUGUUGUUGCCUCCUUAGAAUUCAUAUACACAUAGGUAAAGUAUCACUAAACUGGUUUACAUAUGUAGAUUUGAGUCGUUUCUAAUAUUGAAAGUUUACUGACAACCCAGUUUGAAAGAACCUCUCUUUCAGGUCUUAAAUUUGGAAAUGAUGUUGAAAUGUGCUUCUUGUUAGUCUAUGAUACAAAUAAUAGUACUCCAUCCGUUUCAAUUUGUUUGUCUGGUUUUGACUUUGACACGGAGUAUAAGAAAGUAAGAAAGACUUUCUGAUAUUGGAAUCUUAAAUUAAAGAUUCUUGAAUGUACCAAAAUGCUCUUUAAUCUUGUGAUAUUUAACAUGCCAUGUGAAAAGUUGGAAUAAAAGAGUUGCCAAAAAAGGGAAGAGGCAGUCUUUUCGAAACGGACCAAAAAAGAAAGUAAGAAAAAACAAAUUGAAACAGAGGGAGUAGAAAAUCUAUCUCUCUCUCUUUUUUCUCUCUCAUGUUAUUUGUGGUCUGAAAUUUGUUUCUUUUCCGUUAAAUUGCUGAUUUCUUUUAAAAUGUGUAAAUGCAGGGACGAGAAAUACUUUGCCGUGUUAUCGGCCAACACCAAUUUGGGAUUGAGUCAUAGUUCUCGUUGUUGUAUUGUCUG